rnacentral:rRNA from 1 species
UCGAUUUGGAGUUUGUUGCCUAGAGUGAUGGGCUCCGAAGCUAACGCGAUAAAUCGACCGCCUGGGGAGUACGGCCGCAAGGUUAAAACUCAAAUGAAUUGACGGGGGCCCGCACAAGCGGUGGAGCAUGUGGUUUAAUUCGAUGCAACGCGAAGAACCUUACCUGGUCUUGACAUCCACAGAAUCUUGCAGAGAUGUGAGAGUGCCUUCGGGAACUGUGAGACAGGUGCUGCAUGGCUGUCGUCAGCUCGUGUUGUGAAAUGUUGGGUUAAGUCCCGCAACGAGCGCAACCCUUAUCCUUUGUUGCCAUCGGUUCGGCCGGGAACUCAAAGGAGACUGCCGUUGAUAAAGCGGAGGAAGGUGGGGACGACGUCAAGUCAUCAUGGCCCUUACGACCAGGGCUACACACGUGCUACAAUGGCGUAUACAAAGGGAGGCGACCUCGCGAGAGCAAGCGGACCUCAUAAAGUACGUCUAAGUCCGGAUUGAAGUCUGCAACUCGACUCCAUGAAGUCGGAAUCGCUAGUAAUCGUGAAUCAGAAUGUCACGGUGAAUACGUUCCCGGGCCU